rnacentral:lncRNA from 1 species
AACGGAAAAAUAUUUUUCGGAGUAGUUUUACGAGAAUCCUUGAGCAGUCUUGCCUAGGGAUGUCAACAGGUCUGAUUCGGGGUAGAUUCUUAAAAAUCCGAACCCGAAACCUGAACCUGAACUCGAACCCGAACUUGAUGGAUUUUAAAAUCCAUAUCCAAACCCGAACUCGACAAAAAAUCUAAAACCCGAACCUGAACCCAAACCCGACCCAAAAAUUCGAACCUGAAACAAUUAUUUUUUUUUUAAUAUUUCAAAAUAUAUUACAUCAAAUCUAAAUUUUUAAAUACAAAUUCAAAUAUAACAUCAAUUUUUUUUAUACAGCCACACGCAAAGUGCAAAUUAAAAAG